CAGUUGGUAGAGCGGAGGACUGUAGUGG
rnacentral:piRNA from 1 species